UACAGGGGGUGCAAACGUUGCUCGGAAUUAUUGGGCGUAAAGGGCGCGUAGGCGGAUGUUUAAGUCGGGGGUGAAAGCCCAGGGCUCAACCCUGGAAUUGCCUUCGAUACUGGACAUCUUGAGUGCGGGAGAGGUGAGUGGAAUUCCCAGUGUAGAGGUGAAAUUCGUAGAUAUUGGGAAGAACACCGGUGGCGAAGGCGGCUCACUGGCUCAUUACUGACGCUCAGGCGCGAUAGCGUGGGGAUCAAACAGG
rnacentral:rRNA from 1 species